AUAGGCGAAAGCCUGACAGGGUUACUCUGAGUGGUUUCCGCUAAGGGAAUCUUUUGGCACCUCUACAAAUGGUGCAGAAUAAGGGGUGGGCAAGUCUGGUGUCAGCCGCCGCGGUAAUACCAGCACCCCGAGUGGUCGGGACGAUUAUUGGGCCUAAAGCAUCCGUAGCCGGUCCUGCAAGUCUUCCGUUAAAUCCAGCUGCUCAACAGAUGGGCUGCGGAGGAUACUACAGGGCUAGGAGGCGGGAGAGGCAAGCGGUACUUUAUGGGUAGGGGUAAAAUCCGUUGAUCCAUAGAAGACCACCAGUGGCGAAGGCGGCUUGCCAGAACGCGCUCGACGGUGAGGGAUGAAAGCUGGGGGAGCAAACCGGAUUAGAUACCCCCGUAGUCC
rnacentral:rRNA from 1 species